rnacentral:tRNA from 1 species
GCCGGGGUAGCCGAGCCAGGUAAGGCGAUAGACUCGAGAUCUAUUGUUCGUAUGAACGCAUGGGUUCGAAUCCCAUCCCCGGCG